GCGCACGUGGCGUAAUUGGUAGCCGCGCCAGACUUAGGAUCUGGUGUCUUGCGACGUGAAGGUUCGAGUCCUUUCGUGCGCA
rnacentral:tRNA from 1 species